GAAAUAAAGGUUUGACAGCAGGUGAGGCCAGGAGAGCUGGUUAGCCUGCAUAUAAUCUCUGCUUCUGCAUUUGGAGGGUGAGGAGACACAGUCUGAGGUGGGAUGUCCUGCUUUCAGGAAUCAUUCUGAAGGUCUUCUCUUUCACUUUCCCACUUCUGUCAUUCUUGACUUGCACCACCUUUUUUUUUUAUUUAUUUUUCACUCAAGACCUUUUUUGCCUAAUUACUUGCUCCUAUUCAAGAAUAUCUGGAAAAGUUUGUCAGAUGGAAAAAAGAGUUAUCUGUUUUCUCAGUUUCCCAAUUUUUGCAUAUGUGUAUUCUUUUUAACCUCUGCAAAUUCUCUAAGAAUAGGAGGAAGGAAAAAAUGAAGUAACCAAAGACAAGGCAAAAUCAGAAAAUCAAAAAAAAUUCUGAAAUUAAAUUAAACUGUCAUAUCAAAUUUUUACUAAAACAAUGGGUUGUUAAAAUGGCGUAGAAAGUGCUCAUUUCCAUUUGUAAUUAUUCGAAAGAGUUUUAAAAGGCCAUAAUUUUUACUAUUUCUGCUAGAUUUCAUUUGGUAAUGCCCUUGUACCAGUAGAGGUCAAUACCUCCCAGUGAUUCUGUGUCUGUGGGAUGAACAGUUUGGGUUUGGUUUUCUUUAGAAAAGAGUGGAAUUUGGUAUGGCUGAUGUGCAAGAGGAAAAACUGAAAGAUAGCUGUGCCCAAGGACAGAAGAGUUAAGAGAUUCCCCACCCACACUUGGGACUUUGGGAAGCAAAACUCCUUGCCUGUGACUGUGACUCAUUGUGUGAGUCCCACUAGCUCUUUGUAGGUGAUAGUUGGAAAAAAAUGGGUAAAAACAAGAGAAAAAUAUGUGCACUGUGUGUGUGUUAUACAAAUGAUAUGUUUACUCGUGUGGCCAGGCAAAGGUUCUCCUGAAGCUGGGUUAAAGGUGGAAAGACGUGGUCUCUGUUAAAAGUAAGAAGUAAUGCUAUGAGAAAAAGCAAUGCUGAAGUUGGUGUGGUGCAUGUAGCAUGACUGUAAGUAGCUCAGCAGUAUCUGAGCUGUAACUGCUGUUGGAGAACAUUGUCCUCUGGAAAACGUUCGACAGGUUCCUGGAAGGUCUGUGGCCCUGGGGAGACUCAGUGUCUAUAUUCGCGAUUUGGAAAACAACCUGAAAGGGCUGGAGAUAGCACAAAGAUGGUGUGUGACAGUCAAAGCCAAUGAGUUACACAGUGGCUGCAUAAUCUCUGCAAAAGUGCCAUUAGCCAUAAGGAGCUGAUCCCUUCCAUACAGUGCUGGUGAGACCAUGACUGUGGGCAGCUUCCACGCCCAUAACCCACAUAUCUGCAGAGGCCUCAAAAACCCAGUGAGGUGAUUUAUGAUUGUGCUGCUUAGCACACUCAGUGGAAGGCUGAGAGAAGGCUGUGUGGGAGCCACAGCAGACAGUUUUUGUAAUUUUUGCUUUGCAGACCACCACGAUUUUCCAGGGGAGAUGCAAGCCUGGGAUAGCGGCUGUUGAGCUCAUAGACUCGCUUUGUUUAAUUAUCAUUCGCAGACUGUUUAACAGGGGCCUGGAGACCCUAGGAACUGCCAAGAGCCAGAGGUUGGCAACCACCAACAUCUCUGUAGGAAGAAGGUGAAAAGGGAGGGCCAUUUUGCCUCCCUGCUACCCCAGAGCUGCCUUGUGAAGUGAGACAUGCUACAGUUAAGGAGCCUGGAAUGACUGUGCCACCCUUGCCCACACCAUGACCAUGGCCAUUCCAUGUUUCCGACUGGGAAGGGAGCUUCCAUGCAGCACAGCAAGUCACCACCUGAGCGAUACGUGCGCACAUGUGGGUGCCCCUGUGUAUUUUUGGCUCUGCUGCCAACACUUUGGAGAGAGUUAUGAGAUGGAUGAGAGAGAUUUGGUCCAGACUUGUGUCUCUAUCACAAAAUCGGGCUGUGGUUCAGCACCGGGCAGGCUUUUCUGCCAUCAACUUACCCUUAGAUGGGGACAGAGCAGCUGCUGGAACAAUUUGUGGUGUGGAUAACUGAAGAGUGCAUCUGCAAAAUACCUUCUGCUUGCAGACCCUUACAUUGCCCUAAAGGAAUCAGUCGAUUUGCAGGGGAGGAUGCUACAGUGCAGGAUCCUAGAACUGUUAAAGGAUUUAAUCCAAACAUUCAAGAGUCAGAAAGCCAGUUGGAUCCUGACAGGAGGGACAUUGAUGCAAAGUCCUUGCUGGGUUUCUGGUGCUCAGAAAUCUUCCUAACAACCCCCAUGUCAUGAGUGUUUUGGUGAAGAACUAUAUAAAAAUACCAGAAGUGUGUUAUGCAAUAAGGUGUUUGGGAUUACAAGGGAGACCUUGCAAAUCUAGCCAUGAAGCAUCUGCAUGGAAAAAAGAAAAUUUAAUUCGCAUCUUCUUUCAGCUGCAACCUAAACUUUGUGCUAAGUUAAAUCUCCCCAGCCCUGGGCUGAUCCCUGUAGCCCCUCCAGGGUUUUCAAUGCAUCCAACAAUGAAAGUGAAAUCCAAUCCCAUCCAAUUAGAGGAAAAUGAAUGGCUCAUCUACAAUAAAUGGGCUCUGAAUAACAAUAAGCCAACAAGAGAGCAAUGAACUGGAGACAGAGUACAAUCUUCCUGAAUGUUAAUCGGCAACUAACUCCACAAGCUUCUUAGGGAUGGAAAGAAUUGGAGGAAAAUAGAUUAGGGAAGCUUUAGAGCACAUUGCCUUUUAACUGCUUAGGCCUCACAUUUUUACCUAAAUACAAGAAUGUUUCUAAUGCUGCCUUUUGCAGAGUGGAGGGAGGGUGUGUGUGAUGGGGGUGUUUGUUCUCAAAGUUAAAUGUUUUCAGUUUAUUUGUAAUUUGUCGUGGUAGGUCCUACUAUAUAGCCUCUACUGUUAUUUCAUGGUUUUAUUUAUUCAAAAGUCCUUUUCUAAAAUUAAAAAUGGCAGAAGCCUUGGAAAAUGCUUUCUGUAGAUCUGAGAAUUUGGGGAAUGAGGCUGAAUGAAUUCAGGCCUUAGCCUGAGACUGAAGAGAAGCUGGAGAGGCAAAAAAGAAAGGAUGAGGAAAACUCUGCUGGAGUUUUCCUUAAGUUCAGCUUAACUUAAGUUCAGCUGCUGAAGUGCCGUCUGUACCAGCAAGGUCCCCCGAUGCUGCCUGCUCUCUGGUUCCACCCAGAUGCCUUUUCAUGCUGUCAAGGCUAGUAAUACCUGAAAUACCUCAGCUCAGCUCAGCUCAGCUGCCGCUUUCCACUGCCCUCAGCCUCGCAGACAAGCAGAGAUCUUAUUCAGCCAGACCAGCACUACCAUCCCCUACUGCCUACCUUCAUCCCCAGGAGUCAGCUCAGAGGCCAUGAGCAGUGUCAACAGCUGAUGAGGCCUCACCAGAAAAGGGAACCAUCGCCACUUUUUUCUGUGACCAUCAUACAUUCAAAGCACUGCAGCCCAAGGGCUGACAUCCAUUUUCUUUUGGCACUGGACCACCUCUCCCAUGAAGACCUGCACCAGGGGCUCCUACAAGGCUCCUGCCACUGCUUCACACAGUGGGCAGCUGAGAUGCCCAAUGGAUGGAUGAUUUUCUCUCAGCCAGGAGUGCUUCCUCACCAGAAACUUCAACAUCAACCCUGGGCAUUGUUCCAGACAAUAAGAACCGUAAGAUGUCAUGGAUGGAACAGCUGUCCCGGGAACUUCCACUUGGGGGGAAAGCAUGUGACCAAGGUGUGUGAUUUAAUCUCUGUAGAAAUGGGAAUGAUUUGAGUGGUUUUGCUUGGAAGUAUUAGGCUGAAUUUAGAGAGUAUGUUUACAAUUUUUAAUCAGAAUUAUCACAUUGUCAUUUUGUAAUCAAUGAGUAGUCAGAACAUUCCUUUGUACGUUUGAUUAAUUGUCUUGGGUCUAUGCAUGAAGAAAUGGCACCACCUCCCUCAUACUCCCCAUAAUGCACAGUGGAUAUGAUACACUAUAUUUUGUCCAAGAAUGGUCCAUUCUUGUGAGGCUUUACCCUUUCCAUGAUUCAUCUCAGAAAGAUGUCUUCUCUUAUUUUUUACUUUUUUCUUCGAGGUACUUCGUGUUGCUCAGAAAUGAACCAAAGCUAAGCAAGCUGGGAAGGCUCUCAUUAUCUAAUGCCUGAACUCUGAAACAGUGCAACUAAUGAUGGCAAGUGGUUAAUGAUGGGUCAACAAAGGGAUAUGACUAAUGAAGGGAAAAGGAUUGCAGAAAUGCAAAGUCACUGAGUGCACUGUAUGGCAGAUAAAAACUCCCUAAGUCCUUGUAACCCCAAGCCUGCAGUCAUGUUUUCACCCUCCCACUCCCUUUCCUGGUAGCACAGCAAGAAUUUCCAAAUCAUCCAUGGCAGGACCUGGCAAAGCUGCAACUCCCACUACACGAGUUCAGGCUGACCACACACCCCCCCAACCUCUGUCUGCUCCAUGGGAUGUCAGAGAGUUGUACUGGCAUGUCCUCUAAGCAAGGACAGCAAUCCCAACAAUUCUUUAAAACAAAAAGUAGUUCUGUGUCUUCUACAGACUGUUAACUGCAUUACAGGAGUGAGUCAGUGCUUUAAAAUGCAAGUAAUUAACAAUUACUCUCAUCAUCACUGCUAUUAUUUUUAUUCCUUUUCUUUAAGGGAAAAAGCAGUUGAAGGAGAGGGUUUGAUUCAAAAAUCAGGAGAAGAAAGGAAGCUAUACUCCACAUACUGAAGAAGGGUACAAAACCAUUGUGCAGAAUCUAGAUGUGGUUGUAUACAGGAGUCCAGGGUUUGUGAAACCAUGUGAUUUCCUUUACUUUUGAAUGUUCCUUUUAUUCACUCGAUAUGCCAACUGUAAGUAUGGAGUGAUCAGGCAGAGAUCAGACACAACAUUAGAAAGCUGUAGGAUCACCAACUAUUCACUCCUUAAUAGUGUCAAUAGGAUCUUACUUUUUAUUUAAAGUAGGUGACUUGUAGUUCAAAAGUGACACGAAGGUACUUUCUGUGACUUUUUCCACACCUAUUUUACACCUCUGUGUCAUAUUUGUCUUUUCGUUUGUAGGAAUAAACACAAUAACAGCAAAAAUAAUCUCUGGUAUGUCACUACUGUGAUAGGCACAACUUGAGAACAGGGCAAGGUGCUGGCUCUCUUGAUUUAGAGCUAGCAUUGAUCAGACCAUUUACUAGAACCUAAGACAGACCCUGGUGUGGUUUACUGUUAUGCUGCUACCUCUGGAAGGUACCAAGAGUACCCGAAAGCACUUGCUUAUCUAUAAUCUGAUAAUUAAAUAGCUGUAACUAGUCUGGAGAUCUUUGCCUGAUUUUUCAAAUGCUUGUGUGUCUCAUCAGUCCACUGGGAAGAACAAGGAAGCAGAGCAGGGAGUUGAAUGUCUAAUUAAACUGGUGGAAGGCAGGUAUCCAGCUCUGCAGAGACAUCUUGGGAGAGAAAAGCAAGGAAAGAGGUGCUCAAUGCCUUUACAUGCCUGGGUUUUAUCUUUGGUUAGUCGUAACCUCAAAAACAUGGAAGAACUUCUUGCUGCAUAUAUCUGUAAAUCCGAUAAUGUUAAUGUUUUAUUUCACAACAAAAAUGGGGGCAUGGUAGAGAUAGACUUGAGGAGUGACUUCAUGCUUGGCACGGCGUAUUAUUUUAAAUGUCAACCUCUUGGGGAAGGUUCCCAUGCCAACAAUUUUCUUCAGAGGUUCGACACUAUGAAAGUGGGUGAACACAUACCCAACUGAUAACUCAUUCAACCUCCCACCUUCAUAAAACAGAGUAAAAAGUCUUACAAAAACACAGUAGUAAGUAGAGCAUACAGCUGGGAAACAGCAAGAAGGACAUUUAAUUUAAAAAUUAAUAACAAAAACCAAAGCGUCACAAAAGAGCUGCUGCAUUUCUAUGCAGCAUGCCACACCUAGGAGAUUAAACAGAAAUAUUAUCAUCUAUACCUAUUUAUUCAAGGCAGGGAUCUGACCUUUCCAGGCUCAUUUGUUUCAGCAAACUUUGCUCAUGCUACUCAUGACUGCUCGUAUUCACAGGACUUGCAAGAUUAGAACAUCAAAUAACUGCUGACAAUAAAAAGACAGUGUAAGACAGGAGGAACAAUAGUGUUUCUUCUUAUGUAAUUAUCUUUUUUGUUUCUUUAAGACUCUGAGAAACCACUUCAAAUAUUUUGAUCAGUUUCCUGUCAAAGGUAAGUUCUUUAAUAGGCCACUGUACUUCUAUAGAUAGGAAGCUUUUCUGCGAUUGUUGCGAAUCUCAAUUAAUACAUUAAACCAGGUACUACAGUUCUAGUAAAUACUAUUAUAGUGAUUAUUUUAUUCCAUGUUUGUCAACGUCUACCCAAUCAUUUUCUCAGCUCUACAGAAGAAAUGCCACCCUGCAGGUUGAGCAACAGAUCCAGACUGCCUCAGGGGAUGAGUGGCUUCAGUCUUGUCCCUUGACCCCAAAAUGACACCAUGGCCUGACCUAUAAAAUGUGGACAAUAGAAUCUAUUCACCUUUGUAAACACUAGUGCAACAUAUGGUUGAAUAGUAGUAUGUAAAUUUGAAAUCUUAAUUAAACUGAGGCAGAGAGCCAAGUAAUCACAAGACACACACUACUUGAAGCAAGCUCAUUAAUAGUCCUGCUGCUGGAACCAGUUUCUUAAUGGCUCAGUAAUGAGCUGACUACAAUCUGCAAAACCACGGAUCUUGAUAAUUUUUUAAGUAAAUAAUUAGAUUGUAAUAAUGACUUGAACUUGUGUGUGCACAUGUAACAAAAAACCGAUACCUCCAAGCACUUAACAGACUAGGACUUAAAAUCUGUUCUUGCUUAUUCCCAAAUUGUAUUGGUAUAACUCUGAAGUCAGCUGUGUUACAGAAAGGAAGGAGGAUACUCUGGCUUUUCUGUCAGUACCUGGCACUGUCAUGGGACUUCAGUAGGAUGUUUAAUCUGUUACUUUCUGACCCCUCAAUCAAAGAUGUUGCACAACCAACCCACAUCUUUGAGUUUCUUCCCUUGCAUGCUCCAGUCACUCUGUACUCCAACCAGACAGACAGUUUCAUUUGCUAUGAGAUGAGAUGCACCUGCAGGUAAGGUAUCACGCUUAAUCAAGCAUGUCUCUUCAUAUGCAGUGACAACAUUACAUACAUUUGAGUAGGGUAUCCUGCUCUUUCAUUCCACCCUGGUUUUGUUAGGAGGAACGUUGGCCAGCAGCCUCACUACCAUCAAAUGUUGGAUAUUAAUCUCCCUCCUUCCCCUCCUUUCUUCUUUCCUUCCUUCCAGCACAUUAUUAACCUAGGUCAUCUAUUCAGGGAACUCAUUUUUAAGCCCCAAGAUAGAUUUAUAUUUCUAAUUUGCAAAAGCACAGUCCUUGCCUAAUCUCUCUCCAUUACAUCACAGGUAUGGAUCUGCAAUGGAGAUGUAUUCACAUCCAUGGCACACAACUUAGAAAAUAACAUCCCAUAAGGUCCAUCUCCGGCCUUGGCUGCUCCACUGCACAAUCUCUAGGAAUGGAUCAAACGAAACAGCACAUGCAGUAUCUCACAUUGCCUCCCUCAUUCAACAUGUCUCCUGUUUAGCAAACAGUUCAGUGGGAGUUUGCUGUCCAGUCACAUGCCUGCAGAGUUCAGCAGACACAUGCUCUCCCCACAGCUUUGACUUUUCACAACGUUUACCUAUAAUGGGAAAAUGGAACUGCAAGGCCUAGGAAUUCAGCAGACACUCAUCACAUUUUCAAUUAAGUUCUGCACUGAGAGCAAAAGACUUUCAGGGCUCUUUCCUACGUCUACAUUGAAUCCGAUACAGUAAAACUCCAACUCUGGCUGCAGCUCCCCACAGAUACUGCAGCAGUAGAAGCAACCACAAUCCUCAUAAUGGAAUACAAAACGUAUAUAUUUUUACUUCAAUUAUUUUCUGCAUCUAUAAUCAUAGUGCAUUCACAGACAAAAUCUAAAACCCUAUAAUCUAAAUGAAGGAACCACUCCUCCACCAGGGAAGACAGAAUGUUGUAUUUUUUCCAUUUUAAAAUUGUUAAGAAGGUAAUUAUAUGCUAUUUGCAAUCAAGGAACGUUACUUAUUUCUCAGUAAGAUCAAAUAAUAUAAAUAAGUCUUGACUGAAUAUACCAACAGCAGACCAUCUUUGAAACUAUUUAUAAAGGAAAUGUUCAGUGAAUGAAAAAUUAAAUGAGACCAAAAAUAGCCAUGAUGAUACCUCUGCAACCAAAACCUUUUCCUCAGCUUUGACGUUGGUUUAGCAAAGUAACAGGGACACUGCUCAUUUGUUUUCUGUUGUUCACAGAGAUGUCUGCCUGAAGUUAUUUCAGUUACUACACCUGUUAGUGAAACUCCUCUGCCAGUGGCUGUGGUUUAAUGAGGAAGUUGGUUCUUUCUGUCAACUCAGCAAAACACUUGACUGAGUCCUUCUGUGCCAUCCUAAGUCUUUCAGAGUCUGAAAAGGUUUUAAUCUCUGCAAUGCCUUUAAUUUUCAGUUACUAGGAGGCAAAACAUACUUCGAUGCCUCAUGCUGUAAAGUUUAUGGGUGAUUAACUCUACUACAGAAAAAAUAUUCAAGCAGCAACUCUUUCUGUUGCCACGAGAAGCUACAGGCCUUGCAUUUGAAGCAGAGCACCGCAUGUAAAGAAAACACUAUGUACAGCUGGGCCUUAGGGCAAGGAAUGAAUAGCAGCUACAGGUAAAUAUCCUCAUCUCAAAGAUCAAAAAGGUGGCAACAGUUGUGGGCAGGGUUUUUUAGU